CUCACUUCACACUUCAACCGGCUGUGCAUACAGCAGUUUGAAGAUAUUAAGCAACACUUCAAUAUGUUCUGUAUUUUCAAAUUCUGAUGCUAAUAGCUGUCAGCUGUCUUUUGUACACAUAUGUAUACUGACAUACAUAUGGAAUAUGUUUAUUCAAUAUGUCAUGUACUUUUUUCCUAGAGUCUUUGGCAGAAGAGACUCUUCCACCUACAGAGGAAAAUGACAUCCCACCACUACACAAGAGACACAAACUAUCAUCAGCAGAGGAUGACAGCGUUGGAGCUGUGACACCUGUUGAAGGUAAAUCUACUCAAAAAAGAACAUGGCAGGAGGAAGAGGUAAAAGCUGUUGAAAGGAACAUGAAGCAGUUUAUCACUUCUUGCAUUGUACCAACAAAGAAUGACUGUGACAAAUGUUUAAGGGCGGAGCCUGCAGCUCUUAAGAACCGUGACUGGCAAACGUUGAAAUAUUAUGUGUAUAACCGCAUCACAGCCUACAAAAAGAAAGUCCAGCGUAAUUUGUAAGGUGAUGACAAAUGAAAAGGCUGGUUCUGAUGUUGUAUUGUUUAUUUUCACUGUUGGCUUUAAUUCUGGCUUCAACUCUGUUCAUUAAACAGUGGACAUCUUCAA